UACGUAGGGUGCAGGCGUUAAUCGGAAUUACUGGGCGUAAAGCGUGCGCAGGCGGUUUCUUAAGUCAGAUGUGAAAGCCCCGGGCUUAACCUGGGAACUGCGUUUGAAACUGGGAGACUUGAGUGUGGCAGAGGGGGGUGGAAUUCCGACGUGAGCGUGAAAUGCGUAGAUAUGUGGAGGAACACCGAUGGCGAAGGCAGCCCCCUGGGUUAACACUGACGCUCAUGCACGAAAGCGUGGGGAGCAAACAGG
rnacentral:rRNA from 1 species